CUCAGGUGUGCUCACCUAGCCACUCUACACAGGACUUUUGAAGGACUUUUGAACUGCAGAUUAAAGAAACCAUGCCAGUUGCUGCUACCGCAGACAGAGAACAGAGAAAUCCUCUACGAGCCCCAUGGGUUUACAGAAGUCUAUCCAUCACUCUGUCAGUCUUCCGGAUCAUUAUUCAAGUUGCUAUCCCCAAUUUUGCUGGAUAUAUCAGAUCAACUCCAGCUCCAUAGAUGGAUAGUGUGCUUUCUUCCUAUAUUUAAAGACAGCAAAGUGGAAAGCUGAUGAAUAUUAUAAGGACACACUGAAUAGUGCAUCGUUACUAUGGCAAUAAAAAAGAGAA